rnacentral:rRNA from 1 species
AAACCAGCACCUCAAGUGGUCAGGAUGAUUAUUGGGCCUAAAGCAUCCGUAGCCUGUUCUGUAAGUUUUCGGUUAAAUCCAUUAGCUCAACUAAUGGGCCGCCGAAAAUACUGUAGAACUAGGGAGUGGGAGAGGUAGACGGUAUUCGGUAGGAAGGGGUAAAAUCCUUUGAUCUAUUGAGGACCACCUGUGGCGAAGGCGGUCUACCAGAACACGUUCGACGGUGAGGGAUGAAAGCUGGGGGAGCAAACCGGAUUAGAAACCCGAGUAGUCC